GUUCUUCAAGUUUUUGGCUCUUCAUCAAUCAUAGCACCAAGAGAAAGAGAAUGAUGGCCAAGGAGGGAGCUGACUGAAGCUUAAGAGGGAGCUGCGUUCUACUUACCCAACUGUUCUUCGAGUUUCUUUGCUAGAUGGGGCUGGUGAUGAUUUGUUUAAAGAGCUAUGGAGGCUGUGCAGGGCCAUUAAUGGAUGUUCCUUGUGUUCAAGACAGAGUUUUCUAUUUCCCUCAGGGUCACAUUGAAUUGUUGCCAGAACUUACAGAACAAGAUUUGAGGCAGAUGAAGAACCAGAAAUCUCCCAAAUACGAUCUUCCGUCGAACAAGAUAUUUAAAGAACAAGAUUUUUU